CCAAUAGCGUAUAUUAAAGUUGUUGCAGUUAAAAAGCUCGUAGUUGAAUUUCGGGGUUAGUAGGUUGGUCAUGCCUCUGGUAUGUACUGGUCUCACUGAUUCCUCCUUCCUGAUGAACCGUAAUGCCAUUAAUUUGGUGUUGCGGGGAAUUUGGACUGUUACUUUGAAAAAAUUAGAGUGUUUAAAGCAAGCUAACGCUUGAAUACAUUAGCAUGGAAUAAUGAAAUAGGACGUUCGAUCCUAUUUUGUUGGUUUCUAGGAUUGACGUAAUGAUUAAUAGGGAUAGUUGGGGGCAUUAGUAUUCAAUUGUCAGAGGUGAAAUUCUUGGAUUUAUUGAAGACUAACUACUGCGAAAGCAUUUGCCAAGGAUGUUUUCAUUAAUCAAGAACGAAAGUUAGGGGAUCGAAGACGAUCAGAUACCGUCGUAGUCUUAACCAUAAACUAUGCCGACUAGGGAUCGGAUGAUGUUAAUUUUUUAAUGACUCGUUUGGCACCUUACG
rnacentral:rRNA from 1 species